AUACGUAGGUGACAAGCGUUAUCCGGAUUUACUGGGCGUAAAGGGCGUGUAGGCGGUCUUGCAAGUCAGAAGUGAAAUUCCUGAGCUCAACUCGGGCGCUGCUUCUGAAACUGCAGGACUUGAGUGCUGGAGGGGAUAGCGGAAUUCCUAGUGGAGCGGUAAAAUGCGCAGAUAUUAGGAAGAACACCGGUGGCGAAGGCGACUAUCUGGACAGUAACUGACGCUGAGGCGCGAAAGCGUGGGGAGCAAACAGGAUUAGAUACCCGGGUAGUCCACGCCGUAAACGAUGAAUACUAGGUGUAGGGGGUAUCGACUCCCUCUGUGCCGCAGUUAACACAAUAAGUAUUCCGCCUGGGGAGUACGGCCGCAAGGUUGAAACUCAAAUGAAUUGACGGGG
rnacentral:rRNA from 1 species